CUGUGUUGAGUUAGUUUACAUAAACCUCAUAAUAUAAGAUCAUGUAUAUACAAAAGGGAUUAACAAUAUACUAUGGUCAAGCACAACUCUAUCCUCAAUAACCUCAUUACAUACAUACUGUAAUCUUUUACAUAUCAUCAUAAUACAAAUGUCAUGUCCACAAACUAACUAUUACAUACAUAUGACUUUUUCUCUUCUUGUCUUCUCUAUCUAUCCCGUACCUGCAAACCUGGGGGUUAGGGGAGAGGGGUGAGCUAGAUGCCCAGUGAGUAGAACUAUAAAAAGAAUAUUUAAAACAUGCUAUCAUGAAAUGCGCCACUGCACAAACAAAUCGCACCACGGAUGGACUGAUUCAAAAAUCCCUCAACUCCAUGCCCGGCCCUAUUAUGGGCACCACAGGACUUCGUAUUGCCCGGCCCUAUUAUGGGCACCACAGGACUUCGUACUCGGAGUUAUGGCCCGGCCCUAUUAUGGGCACCACAGGACUUCGUAUUGCCCGGCCCUAUUAUGGGCACCACAGGACUUCGUAUACAGAAGGCUAAUGAAUCAUCCUAAUGUCCAUCCACUAUCAUCUAUCACAACAAUACAAUGCGGCAUAGUCGUGAAUUCUAAUGCAAACAACCUAUAAUAUGAUCAUGAUGCAUGAAGCAUGAUAAAAGCAUUUCAUUUCUUAAUUUAAAAAGGUUAAGUUUAGUUCCACUCACCUCUGGCUGACUCUGACAAACUCUGAAGCAGCUGGCUCACUGCUGGGGUCCUUGGUUCCUCGGGUCCGAACC
rnacentral:lncRNA from 1 species